ACAAACUUGGUCAUUUAGAGGAAGUAAAAGUCGUAACAAGGUUUCCGUAGGUGAACCUGCGGAAGGAUCAUUAUCGAGUUUUUAAAUCCAGCGAUUUUUCUCGCUGUGCAUUCACUUACACGCUUGAACUCUUGUUGGCUCUUUAAACUUACACACACACCUGUGCACCUUCGGACGUGCUUGAAAGAGCACGUCUGUUAUUUUUACACCUUAUUGUAUGUCUUUGUGAAAAUAUAUUUCGGUUGCUCUGUGAUGGAGCAGUCGUUAAAAAUUUAAAAUACAACUUUCAGCAACGGAUCUCUUGGCUCUCCCAUCGAUGAAGAACGCAGC
rnacentral:misc_RNA from 1 species